AUCCAGCUGACGAGUCUUAAAUAAGACGAAACGCAUGUCCUAGAU
rnacentral:hammerhead_ribozyme from 1 species